GCAGGAAAUAAUGGAGCAAGAGGGCUGAAUGGAGCUCCUGGCAUUGAAGGGCCAUUUGGUUUACCUGGACUCACAGGAUUGAGGGGUUACCCAGGGCUCGAUGGUCCUCCAGGACUGACUGGCUUACCAGGAUUUCCAGGAAAAAAAGGACGACAGGGUCAGAGCAACGUGGAUGGACAAGAGGGACCUGCUGGACGUCCAGGUCCCAGGGGAGAGAUUGGACUUCCUGGACCACCUGGAGAAAGGGGACCGCCUGGUCAGAAGGGAGAACUGGGACUGCCAGGGGAAAGAGGAGCCUCUGGAAUCAAAGGCCUGGAGGGGACUUCAGGUGACCAGGGCAGGAAAGGUGACCUGGGACCCAAAGGACAGCCAGGCGAAUCUGGUGAUCUGGGAAUGGUUGGUUUACAGGGCUUUCCAGGACCAAUGGUAA
rnacentral:lncRNA from 1 species